GAUGAACGCUGGCGGCGUGCCUAACACAUGCAAGUCGAGCGAUUCUCUUCGGAGAAGAGCGGCGGACGGGUGAGUAACGCGUGGGUAACCUGCCCUGUACACACGGAUAACAUACCGAAAGGUAUGCUAAUACGAGAUAAUAUGCUUUUAUCGCAUGGUAGAAGUAUCAAAGCUUUUGCGGUACAGGAUGGACCCGCGUCUGAUUAGCUAGUUGGUAAGGUAACGGCUUACCAAGGCGACGAUCAGUAGCCGACCUGAGAGGGUGAUCGGCCACAUUGGAACUGAGACACGGUCCAAACUCCUACGGGAGGCAGCAGUGGGGAAUAUUGCACAAUGGGCGAAAGCCUGAUGCAGCAACGCCGCGUGAGCGAUGAAGGCCUUCGGUCGUAAGCUCUGUCCUCAAGGAAGAUAAUGACGGUACUUGAGGAGGAAGCCCCGGCGUAACUACGUG
rnacentral:rRNA from 1 species